UUGUGCUCUUUUCUACCACACACAUGCAAAAAUGGGAAUAGCACAGAGAAAAUUAGCCUGACCCCUGCUCAAGAAUGGCAUGAAAAUUUGUAAAAUGUUCCAUGUCUAA